UUUGGGGAUUUGGAAGGGAAGGCAAUUCUGGUUGAGAAUACAGUGGCCGUCAGGUCUUUGGGUCGGCCUACGGCUACGGUGAUUGUCGCUCUUCAUUUUUGGAUGUAGUGGUAGGAUCUAUGCCGUCGAAUACGUAUACGAGGAUUCAGAUCCACCUGGGGCAGACAAACACUCAGUAUAUACUCUUCUCCUUGCUGAAAAGAAUCUGUAAAAAGCAUGGAGUUAAGGUUUAUGCUUGUGUAGGUCGACAAAGAAUUCGUGGAAGUUUUAGCAUUCAGAUGGAUAUCCGAGCUGAUCUCAUUGAUGCAUAUAUAUCUGCUUUGCAAGAGGUUCUUGAUCAAAAUGAUACUUUCCGUAGCCUUAGGCAAGAUGUGUUGUCCUAUCUUGUGCGGAGCCAAUUGGUUAUUGGAGAGGCAAGUCAUCUUUCAGAUUACUCUUUCUCUGCUCAAAAUAACAUCAUUCAUCGUUCUGCACAACUGGCUAAUACUAAAUACAUUUUAAAAUUGUAAUUAACUUGAUUCUGCGAUAUAAGUACCAUAGCAAUUCUUUUUGCUAUCAAUUGGUAUUGUUUGUUUUACACAAGACUUAAAUUGUCAUUGAUGUUUUCCCUUAUUUAUUGAAAUUGUAGAAACAUCAGUCAUAAUCAGCUUUAGGAUCCAUUGAAUGAUGUGUAUUGGCCAGUUAACUUCCCUAUCCAUAUUGUUUUGCAAGAAUCCAUUGGAACAGUAAAGUCAUAUUUGCGGCAAUUGAUUGAUUUAUAAGCCUUUUUGUAGGUUUGGUAGCUAAUUCUUGGUUUAAAUGUACUUAUUUAAAUAGUUUGUUCAUUGUUUCAUUGUACAAAUACUUUAUGAACAUUUGUACAUAUAUUAAAGUAUAUAUAUUAAAACAUUUCUUUCCAUA